rnacentral:rRNA from 1 species
AGAGUUUGAUCCUGGCUUAGGAUGAACGCUAGCUACAGGCUUAACACAUGCAAGUCGAGGGGCAGCAUUGGAGUAGCAAUACUUCAGAUGGCGACCGGCGCACGGGUGAGUAACACGUAUCCAACCUGCCGCUUACUCGGGGAUAGCCUUUCGAAAGAAAGAUUAAUACCCGAUGGUAUAAAGAGUUCGCAUGUUCUCUUUAUUAAAGAAUUUCGGUAAGCGAUGGGGAUGCGUUCCAUUAGAUAGUUGGCGGGGUAACGGCCCACCAAGUCUACGAUGGAUAGGGGUUCUGAGAGGAAGGUCCCCCACAUUGGAACUGAGACACGGUCCAAACUCCUACGGGAGGCAGCAGUGAGGAAUAUUGGUCAAUGGACGAGAGUCUGAACCAGCCAAGUAGCGUGAAAGGAUGACUGCCCUAUGGGUUGUAAACUUCUUUUGCAGGGGAAUAAAGUGCAGGACGUGUCCUGUUUUGUAUGUACCCUGAGAAUAAGGAUCGGCUAACUCCGUGCCAGCAGCGGC